UACGUAGGGGGCAAGCGUUGUCCGGAUUUAUUGGGCGUAAAGAGCGUGUAGGCGGCCAGGUAGGUCUGCUGUGAAAACUCGAGGCUCAACCUCGAGACGUCGGCGGAAACCAUCUGGCUAGAGUCCGGAAGAGGAGAGUGGAAAUUCCUGGUGUAGCGGUGAAAUGCGCAGAUAUCAGGAGGAACACCCAAUUGCGAAGGCAGCUCGCUGGGACGUUACUGACGCUGAGACGCGAAAGCGUGGGGGAGCAAACAGG
rnacentral:rRNA from 1 species